rnacentral:rRNA from 1 species
GAGUUUGAUCCGGCUCAGAGCGAACGCUGGCGGCAGGCCUAACACAUGCAAGUCGAGCGCCCCGCAAGGGGAGCGGCAGACGGGAGAGUAACACGUGGGAACGUACCCUUCAGUUCGGAACAACCCAGGGAAACUUGGGCUAAUACCGGAUACGUCCGUAAGGAGAAAGAUUUAUCGCUGAAGGAUCGGCCCGCGUCUGAUUAGCUAGUUGGUGAGGUAACGGCUCACCAAGGCGACGAUCAGUAGCUGGUCUGAGAGGAUGAUCAGCCUCACUGGGACUGAGAUACGGCCCAGACUCCUACGGGAGGCAGCAGUGGGGAAUAUUGGACAAUGGGCGCAAGCCUGAUCCAGCCAUGCCGCGUGGAUGAUGAAGGCCCUAGGGUUGUAAAGUCCUUUCGGCGGGGAAGAUAAUGACGGUACCCGCAGAAGAAGCCCCGGCCAACUUCGUGCCAGCAGCCGCCGCCGUAAC